GACGAACGCUGGCGGCGUGCUUAACACAUGCAAGUCGAACGGAAAGGCCCUGCUUUUGUGGGGUGCUCGAGUGGCGAACGGGUGAGUAACACGUGAGUAACCUGCCCUUGACUUUGGGAUAACUCCAGGAAACUGGGGCUAAUACCGGAUAGGAGCUCCUGCUGCAUGGUGGGGGUUGGAAAGUGUCGGCGGUUGGGGAUGGACUCGCGGCUUAUCAGCUUGUUGGUGGGGUAGUGGCUUACCAAGCGUGUGACGGGUAGCCGGCCUGGGAGGGUGACCGGCCACAUUGGGACUGAGGUAGGGACCAGACUCCUACGGGAGGCAGCAGGGGGGAGUAUUGCACAAUGGGCGGAAGCCUGAUGCAGCGACGCCGCGUGCGGGAUGACGGCCUUCGGGUUGUAAACCGCUUUCGCCGGUGACGAAGCGUGAGUGACGGUAAUGGGUAAGGAAGCACCGGCUAACUACGUG
rnacentral:rRNA from 1 species